rnacentral:misc_RNA from 2 species
CCCAACUAUCCCUAUUAAUCAUUACGUCAAUCCUAGAAACCAACAAAAUAGGAUCGAACGUCCUAUUUCAUUAUUCCAUGCUAAUGUAUUCAAGCGUUAGCUUGCUUUAAACACUCUAAUUUUUUCAAAGUAACAGUCCAAAUUCCCCGCAACACCAAAUUAAUGGCAUUACGGAUCAUCAGGAAGGAGGAAUCAGUGAGACCAGUACAUACCAGAGGCAUGACCAAUCUACUAACCCCGAAAUUCAACUACGAGCUUUUUAACUGCAACAACUUUAAUAUACGCUAUUGGAGCUGGAAUUACCGCGGCUGCUGGCACCAGACUUGCCCUCCAA